rnacentral:snoRNA from 1 species
AUCCUCUGGUCCGUGGGUGUCCACGCUGCUGUGGGAGAUGUGCUUCCCUCCAAUCUUGCUAUGGCGUCAGUAUAUUCCCUGUGUGAUG